GAAUGCUAAAAGAAUGGAAAUUUAAAAAAAAACUUUUUUAAAAAUAAAAAUUGAAUUUUUUUUAAUUUGUGCAAAAACAAUUAUAUUUAUUAAAGACAAGAAGACCCUAAGAAUUUAAGAUUUUACAAUUAAAAAGUUUUUUUUUUAAAAUCUUGAUUGGGGCGAUCAAAAAAUAUUAAUAACUUUUUAAAAUUUAAAUUGAUCUAUUAUUAAUAAACUAAUGAAUUAAAUACUCUAGGGAUAACAGCGUAAUAAUUUUUGAUAGAUCUUAUUGACAAAAUAGUUUGCGACCUCGAUGUUGGAUUAGGAUUCUUUUUUAAUGAAGAAGUUAAAAAAAGAAGUUUGUUCAACUUUUAAAUUCCUACUUGAUCUGAGUUCAGACCG
rnacentral:rRNA from 1 species